rfam:Xanthomonas oryzae pv. oryzae KACC10331, complete genome.
AUGUACUGCGCGCACAUACCGGUUUUGAGUGUGCCGUCCACGCCCGCCUGACGAUUGCUUGCUACGUCUGCUUGGCC